rnacentral:rRNA from 1 species
AACGAACGCUGGCGGCGCGCCUAAUACAUGCAAGUCGAGCGAGAAGACGUAGCAAUACGUUUGUAAAGCGGCGAACGGGUGAGGAAUACAUGGGUAACCUACCCUCGAGUGGGGAAUAACUAGCCGAAAGGUUAGCUAAUACCGCGUACGCUCCUUGGACUUCGGUUCAGGGAGGAAAGCGAUACCGUGGGUAUCGCGCUCUUGGAUGGGCUCAUGUCCUAUCAGCUUGUUGGUGAGGAACGGCUCACCAAGGCUUCGACGGGUAGCUGGUCUGAGAGGACGAUCAGCCACACUGGCACUGCGACACGGGCCAGACUCCUACGGGAGGCAGCAGUAAGGAAUAUUGCGCAAUGGGCGAAAGCCUGACGCAGCGACGCCGCGUGGGGGAUGAAGGUCUUCGGAUUGUAAACCCCUUUCGGGAGGGAAGAUGGAACGAGCAAUCGUUCGGACGGUACCUCCAGAAGCAGCCACGGCUAACUUCGUGCCAGC